rnacentral:rRNA from 2 species
UGAUGAGUGCUAGAUGUAGGGAGCAUAAGUUCUCUGUAUCGGCCAGGCUAACCGCCAAUUAAGGCACUUCCCGCCCUGGGGGAGGUAACGAACCGGCAAGGGUUGAAAAACUCCAAAGGGAAAUUGACGGGGGGGCCCGGCACAAGGCGGUGGAGGCAUGUGGGUUUAAUUUGGAGGCAACGCGAAGAACCUUUACCAGGUCUUUACAUACUCGUGCUAUUCCUAGAGAUAGGAAGUUCUUUCGGGACACGGGAUACAGGUGGUGCAUGGUUGUCGUCAGCUCGUUGUCGUGAGAUGUUGGGUUAAGUCCCGGCAACGAGCGCAACCCCCUAUUGUUUAGUUGCCAUCAUUUAAGGUUGGGCACUCUAACGAGACUGCCGGUGAUAAACCGGAGGAAGGUGGGGAUGACGUCAAAUCAUCUUGCCCCUUAUGACCUGGGCGUACACACGUGCCUACAAUGGAUGGUACAACGAGUCGCGAGACAGUGUUUUUUAGCUUUUUCUUUUGAUUGAAACCAUUCUCAGUUCGGAUUGUAGGCUGCAACUCGCCUACAUGAAGUCGGAAUCGCUAGUAAUCGCGGAUCAGCACGCCGCGGUGCAAUACGUUCCCGGGCCUUGUACACACCGCCCGUCACACCACGGGAGUUGGGAGUACCCGAAGUAGGUUGCCUAACCGUCAAGGAGGGCGCUUCCUAAGGUAAGACCGAAUGACUGGGGUGAAGUCGUAACACAGGUAGCCGGUAAUNGGUAG